AUGCUUGUUCCUUGGUGCCAAAAAGAAGAACCAGCACUCAGACAGAACUUUUCUCAGCAAGACCUCACAGGGACCACAUAGAACAGUAAAGUUCCACUAAAAAAAAAAGAAGAAAGAAGAAAAGACCCUCUUCACCUCUUCCAUCAAUUGUGCAUGGUUCUAGAAACAAGAGGCGAGGCACGCCACGCAGGACCACACAC